rnacentral:rRNA from 1 species
UACGAAGGGGGCUAGCGUUGUUCGGAAUUACUGGGCGUAAAGCGCGUGUAGGCGGGCCGUUAAGUCGGGGGUGAAAGCCCAGAGCUCAACUCUGGGAUUGCCUUCGAUACUGGCGGCCUGGAGCAUGAUAGAGGCGAGUGGAAUUGCGAGUGUAGAGGUGAAAUUCGUAGAUAUUCGCAGGAACACCAGUGGCGAAGGCGGGUCGCUGGAUCAUUGCUGACGCUGAGGCGCGAAAGCGUGGGGAGCAAACAGG